rnacentral:rRNA from 1 species
UACAGGGGGUGCAAACGUUGCUCGGAAUUAUUGGGCGUAAAGCGCGCGUAGGCGGCGUGAUAAGGGUGUGGUGAAAGCCCGGGGCUCAACCCCGGGUCUGCCAUGCCGACUGUCAGGCUCGAGUGCUGUAGGGGCAGGCGGAAUUCCGGGUGUAGCGGUGGAAUGCGUAGAGAUCCGGAGGAAGACCGGUGGCGAAGGCGGCCUGCUGGGCAGUUACUGACACUGAGGCGCGACAGCGUGGGGAGCAAACAGG